GAUGAACGCUGGCGGCGUGCCUAAUACAUGCAAGUCGAGCGAACGGACGAGAAGCUUGCUUCUCUGAUGUUAGCGGCGGACGGGUGAGUAACACGUGGACAACCUACCUAUAAGACUGGGAUAACUUCGGGAAACCGGAGCUAAUACCGGAUAAUAUUUUGAACCGCAUGGUUCAAAAGUGAAAGACGGUCUUGCUGUCACUUAUAGAUGGAUCCGCGCUGCAUUAGCUAGUUGGUAAGGUAACGGCUUACCAAGGCAACGAUGCAUAGCCGACCUGAGAGGGUGAUCGGCCACACUGGAACUGAGACACGGUCCAGACUCCUACGGGAGGCAGCAGUAGGGAAUCUUCCGCAAUGGGCGAAAGCCUGACGGAGCAACGCCGCGUGAGUGAUGAAGGUCUUCGGAUCGUAAAACUCUGUUAUUAGGGAAGAACAUAUGUGUAAGUAACUGUGCACAUCUUGACGGUACCUAAUCAGAAAGCCACGGCUAACUACGUGCCAGCAGCCGCGGUAAUACGUAGGUGGCAAGCGUUAUCCGGAAUUAUUGGGCGUAAAGCGCGCGUAGGCGGUUUUUUAAGUCUGAUGUGAAAGCCCACGGCUCAACCGUGGAGGGUCAUUGGAAACUGGAAAACUUGAGUGCAGAAGAGGAAAGUGGAAUUCCAUGUGUAGCGGUGAAAUGCGCAGAGAUAUGGAGGAACACCAGUGGCGAAGGCGACUUUCUGGUCUGUAACUGACGCUGAUGUGCGAAAGCGUGGGGAUCAAACAGGAUUAGAUACCCUGGUAGUCCACGCCGUAAACGAUGAGUGCUAAGUGUUAGGGGGUUUCCGCCCCUUAGUGCUGCAGCUAACGCAUUAAGCACUCCGCCUGGGGAGUACGACCGCAAGGUUGAAACUCAAAGGAAUUGACGGGGACCCGCACAAGCGGUGGAGCAUGUGGUUUAAUUCGAAGCAACGCGAAGAACCUUACCAAAUCUUGACAUCCUUUGACAACUCUAGAGAUAGAGCUUUCCCCUUCGGGGGACAAAGUGACAGGUGGUGCAUGGUUGUCGUCAGCUCGUGUCGUGGGAUGUUGGGUUAAGUCCCGCAACGAGCGCAACCCUUAAGCUUAGUUGCCAUCAUUAAGUUGGGCACUCUAAGUUGACUGCCGGUGACAAACCGGAGGAAGGUGGGGAUGACGUCAAAUCAUCAUGCCCCUUAUGAUUUGGGCUACACACGUGCUACAAUGGACAAUACAAAGGGCAGCGAAACCGCGAGGUCAAGCAAAUCCCAUAAAGUUGUUCUCAGUUCGGAUUGUAGUCUGCAACUCGACUACAUGAAGCUGGAAUCGCUAGUAAUCGUAGAUCAGCAUGCUACGGUGAAUACGUUCCCGGGUCU
rnacentral:rRNA from 1 species